AUGGGCCCACAGUCAAGCCCGAACCGGCAGCCACGACCAGACCCACGGUCAAAUGAAUACCCUCAUCCAUUAGCAGGAUCACAGCCUGAUCCCAAUCCACAACCAUUACCAGACCCAAACCCGAAACCAUAUUGCCGAACCAACAGCCAAACCCAAACCCUCAGCCAUUACCAGGACUGCAGCCUGAUCCAAACCCACAACCAUUACCAAACCCAAACCCAAAACCCAUUGCCGGACCCACAGCCAAACCCAAACCCUCAGCCAUUACCAGGACCGCAGCCUGAUCCAAACCCACAACCAUUACCAGACCCAAACCCACAACCACUGCCAGGCCCACAGCCGGACCCGAAUGCACAACCAAAACCACCACUUGGGACACAAGCAGAAAAGGAAAAUGUGGAAGCAAACAUCAUCCUAGAGGAGCCGCUAGGAUGA
rnacentral:rRNA from 1 species